GACGAACCGUGCGAACGUUGUUCGGAAUCACUGGCUUAAAGGGCGCGUAGGCGGUUGAUCAAGUCUGGGGUGAAAUCUUUCGGCUUAACCGGAAAAGUGCCUUGGAUACUGGUCAGCUGGAGGGAGGUAGGGGCAGUUGGAACUUCCAGUGGAGCGGUGAAAUGCGUUGAUAUUGGAAGGAACGCCGGUGGCGAAAGCGAGCUGCUGGACCUCUUCUGACGCUGAUGCGCGAAAGCUAGGGGAGCAAACGGG
rnacentral:rRNA from 1 species